GGGGCUGUGGCUCAGCGGUAGAGUGCUCACCUAGCAAGUGUGAGGCCCUGAGUUUGAUCCUCAGCACCA
rnacentral:tRNA from 1 species